rnacentral:piRNA from 1 species
UCCAGUUUUGGCUCUUGUUCC